UGGGGAAUUUUGGACAAUGGGCGAAAGCCUGAUCCAGCAAUGCCGCGUGUGUGAAGAAGGCCUUCGGGUUGUAAAGCACUUUUGUCCGGAAAGAAAUCCUUGGCUCUAAUACAGUCGGGGGAUGACGGUACCGGAAGAAUAAGCACCGGCUAACUACGUGCCAGCAGUCGCGGUAAUACGUAGGGUGCAAGCGUUAAUCGGAAUUACUGGGCGUAAAGCGUGCGCAGGCGGUUUGCUAAGACCGAUGUGAAAUCCCCGGGCUCAACCUGGGAACUGCAUUGGUGACUGGCAGGCUAGAGUAUGGCAGAGGGGGGUAGAAUUCCACGUGUAGCAGUGAAAUGCGUAGAGAUGUGGAGGAAUACCGAUGGCGAAGGCAGCCCCCUGGGCCAAUACUGACGCUCAUGCACGAAAGCGUGGGGAGCAAACAGGAUUAGAUACCCUGGUAGUCCACGCCCUAAAACGAUGUCAACUAGUUGUUGGGGAUUCAUUUCCUUAGUAACGUAGCUAACGCGUGAAGUUGACCGCCUGGGGAGUACGGUCGCAAGAUUAAAACUCAAAUGAAUUGACGGGGUCAUA
rnacentral:rRNA from 1 species